rnacentral:rRNA from 1 species
CACGGUAAACGAUGGAUGCCCGCUGUUUGCGAUAUACUGUGAGCGGCCAAGAGAAAUCGUUAAGCAUCCCACCUGGGGAGUACGCCGGCAACGGUGAAACUCAAAGGAAUUGACGGGGGCCCGCACAAGCGGAGGAACAUGUGGUUUAAUUCGAUGAUACGCGAGGAACCUUACCCGGGCUUGAACUGCAGCUGAACGAUUCAGAGAUGAUGAGGCCCUUCGGGGCAGCUGUGGAGGUGCUGCAUGGUUGUCGUCAGCUCGUGCCGUGAGGUGUCGGCUUAAGUGCCAUAACGAGCGCAACCCCUUUCGUCAGUUGCCAUCAGGUUAUGCUGGGCACUCUGGCGACACUGCCACCGUAAGGUGUGAGGAAGGUGGGGAUGACGUCAAAUCGGCACGGCCCUUACGUCCGGGGCUACACACGUGUUACAAUGGGUGGUACAGAGAGUCGGUCGCAGGCAAUUGCGGUCUAAUCAUGAAAGCCAUCCUCAGUUCGGAUUGGGGUCUGCAACCCGACC